GGUUCUGGGAUCGACAUCAGGAAGCUCCUAGGAGCUUCAAAACCCUAGUUCAACAUAAUCAUCAAAUUGAAGGCUCAAUCAAAGCUCAAAUUCACAAUUGAACAUGAAUUAAUGAUCACAUAAGCUAGGGGAUCAUAAGUUUGACGCUUGGCAAGCUAGGUGAAAGCUUGGAAACGAAGCGGGUCAAACGAAUCAAGAGAGAAGGAAAGGCAUAAUCGGGAUGCAAGGUGCGGAUCAAACCAUUCUGUCGAAAUGGAGGUGUGGCGUCGCGCGACGCCCAAAGGGGUUUACCGUGGUGCGCGACGACGGCGUGAAAGUCGAGAGUCCCGGAUGAAAAUCAAGCGACGAACAAGAACCGAACACACGUUAAAUGAAGCUUCCGCGUUAAACCUUGUUUUGUUUUGUUAUAAGUGAAUUAUGUAAACACUUACAACUAUGUCUUGAAAUGUUUUUAAAACAUAUGGGAAUGUUGGCACGACAAGUUUUUGUAAAGUCGCAUUUUUAGUA